rnacentral:rRNA from 1 species
AGCGAACGUUAGCGGCGCGCCUAACACAUGCAAGUCGCACGAGAAAGGGCUUCGGCCCCGGUAAAGUGGCGCACGGGUGCGUAACACGUAGGCAAUCUACCCUCAGGCGGGGGAUAACGUCCCGAAAGGGACGCUAAUACCGCAUGAGACCACGGACUCUUCGGAGACUGCGGUCAAAGCUGGCCUCUUCGUGAAAGCCAGCACCUGAGGACGAGCCUGCGGCCCAUCAUUGCUAGUUGGUGAGGUAAUGGCUCACCAAGGCUAAGACGGGUAGCUGGUCUGAGAGGAUGAUCAGCCACACUGGAACUGAAACACGGUCCAGACUCCUACGGGAGGCAGCAGUGGGGAAUAUUGGACAAUGGGCGCAAGCCUGAUCCAGCGACGCCGCGUGAGUGAUGAAGGCCUUCGGGUUGUAAAGCUCUGUUGAGGGAGAAGAAAACGGGUGGCGCGAAUAGCUCCAUCCCUUGACGGUAUCCCUUUAGAAAGCACCGGCUAACUCUGUGCCAGCAGCCGCGGUAAGACAGAGGGUGCAAACGUUGCUCGGAAUUACUGGGCGUAAAGCGCGUGUAGGCGGACCACCAAGUCAGGCGUGAAAUCCCUGGGCUCAACCCAGGAACUGCACCUGAAACUGGCGGUCCUGAGUGGUGGAGAGGGAAGCAGAAUUCCUGGUGUAGAGGUGAAAUUCGUAGAUAUCAGGAGGAACACCGGUGGCGAAGGCGGCUUCCUGGACACUAACUGACGCUGAGACGCGAAAGCGUGGGGAGCAAACAGGAUUAGAUACCCUGGUAGUCCACGCCGUAAACGAUGAGUGCUGGGUGUCGCGGGUUUUGACCCCUGCGGUGCCGUAGCUAACGCGUUAAGCACUCCGCCUGGGGAGUACGGCCGCAAGGCUAAACUCAAA